GGGUGAGUAACACGUGGAUAAUCUACCUUUGAAUCCGGGAUAACUGCUCGAAAGAAUCGCUAAUACCGAAUGAAGUCAAUGUUUCCUAGGAGAUAUUGAUGAAAGACAGCCUCUUCUUGAAAGCUGUUGUUUGAAGAUGAGUCCGCGCACCAUUAGCUUGUUGGUGGGGUAAAGGCCUACCAAGGCUCUGAUGGUUAGCUGGUCUGAGAGGAUGAUCAGCCACACUGGAACUGACACACGGUCCAGACUCCUACGGGAGGCAGCAGUGAGGAAUUUUGCGCAAUGGGGGCAACCCUGACGCAGCAACGCCGCGUGAGUGAAGAAGGCCCUUGGGUCGUAAAACUCUGUCAAUGGGGAAGAAGUCAUUGCAUAUUAAUAGUAUGUAGUAUUGACGGUACCCAUGAAGGAAGCACCGGCUAACUCCGUGCCAGCAGCCGCGGUAAUACGGGGGGUGCAAGCGUUAUUCGGAAUUAUUGGGCGUAAAGGGCACGCAGGCGGUCCAACAGGUCAGAUGUGAAAGCCCGGGGCUCAACCCUGGAAGUGCAUUUGAAACCGUUGGACUUGAGUACGGUAGAGGAGAGGGGAAUUCCUGGUGUAGAGGUGAAAUUCGUAGAUAUCAGGAGGAACACCGGUGGCGAAGGCGCCUCUCUGGACCGAUACUGACGCUGAGGUGCGAAGGCGUGGGCAGCGAACAGGAUUAGAUACCCUGGUAGUCCACGCAGUAAACGUUGUAUACUAGGUGUAGCGGGUAUUGACCCCUGCUGUGCCGAAGCUAACGCAUUAAGUAUACCGCCUGGGGAGUACGGUCGCAAGACUAAAACUCAAAGAAA
rnacentral:rRNA from 1 species